GCAGCAUAACAAUACUCAAUUAAACUUGUCAAAUACAAUGGGAUAGCCUUCCUAUUUAUAGGCUAUUUGUGGACGUAACUUGUAAGCUAAAUUACAAGAAAAGAAAACCAAAAAUUAAAUCUAAAUGCUAAGCCAUGUGCCAAUCCAUGACCGGCCACACUAACCUAGUUUCUAGAAUGUUUCCUUCACAAAGUGCUUUCUACACUAUCCUAUCUACUAAGUACCCCUAAUGGGCCUUUAUGCAACAAAGCCUUCUUUUCCUAAAACCGUAGCUUGGCCCAUGUGUGUGUGAAGCUAGACGGUCUAGGACUCUUCAUAGAUGCUCCUUAUGUAGCCAUGGCUAGACGCUCCCUUGUGAAGCUAGACGCUCCAUUUGGAAGACUAGACGCUCCUUUGAGAGGCUAGACGCUCCUUUGUGAAGCUAGUCUUAGUCUUUUGGCUUUCAUAGUGUGGUGAGCUUGGGCCCUCUUCCAUCAAAACUUAAGGAAAAGAAAUAAAAAAAACAAACAAGAAAAGCUUAAGCAAGAAAAACUAAACCAAUUUUGAGAAAGAGAUUAUGACAAAACUUGAAAAGGAAGAUAAGCAAGAAAAAGCCAUGCAAAAAGACGCUAAGAUACUUACUAAACUUUUAACAAAGAAUCUUUCUUUAGAAAUUUGUCAAAGCAAAAGGAUAAAAAUUCCACAAAGGUUGAAAUCAAUUUGCCAAUCAAGAUGAAAAUGUUGCUCUUUGAAAGAUUGGAACACAAAUAGCUUACGUACAUUUCUUUUCUCUCUCUUUUUUUGUACUUGUUCUUGGAUUAUGGAAAUGAAAUGUCCAUAGUUUUGAUCAUGCAUAUUUUCAUAUAGCUCCAAUUUUCAGAAAAAGUUUGGGAUUCAAAAAAAUUGAUCACUUGAAAUCUUUUGUUUGGAACUUAAAUCUACUUCUACUAAAACAAGUUUAUAAUUACUUAUAAACUUUCACAAUUAAAAUCAAGUAAGUAGAGGCAAAAUUAUAAGGACUCCUAGAACACAAAAGAACACAAGACUCAAGGCAAAGAAGCAAGAACAAUAAAAGACAUAAAGGAACAUUAAAAAAGUGAAACAAUGCUAUUGAAUAAGGUAAAUGCCGAAUUUAAAAGCAAGAAAGUAAAUGCUGAAAUUAAAAGUGCUUGAAAGUAAAGACAAGAAUUUAAAGGUGCUAGAAUGUAAAGACAAGGAAUUAAAGAUGCAAGCAAGUAAAGUGCUAAUCAACUCUAAAAAGAUAAGCUCAAAUACCAAAGCUCUGAUACCACAUGAUGUGAGUUGAUUUUUAGGAGUUUUCAUUUAGGUGACACUUUACUUUUAGGAUUAAGAUUUUAGGAAUUUAAGAGUGAAAACCUUAGGAAAAUUCCCACUAGACACUAACUUAACCAAGUGGUUAAGUAGGUGUGACUGAGCAUUUCACAAAGGCACAAAUAAAAGACAAUAUAUGGUGAGAAUGGAUGCAAAACUCAAUUAAAAAUGAUAAAAACCGAGAGCAAAACCAAGGAAGAAUACAAAGACAAUGAACAUAAAUGGAAGGAGAAAUGAAGGAGAAUGGAAGAAGGAAACUUAUGGAAAAGGGAGUGGUGAUCAUGCCACUUGAUGGGUGGUAACCACCAAGAUAAGUGGAAGGCCGCCACUUGAGAGUUUCAUUCUCAUCAAGAUAAGACCAAGGGAGAGGAGAUAACACUCACUCAAGCUCACACAAUAUUUGUGCAAAGUAACUUUUCU
rnacentral:lncRNA from 1 species